rnacentral:rRNA from 1 species
GACGAACGCUGGCGGCGUGCUUAACACAUGCAAGUCGAACGGAAAGGCCUGCUUUCCCUUGUGGAUUGCGGGUACUCGAGUGGCGAACGGGUGAGUAACACGUGAGUGAUCUGCCCCCAACUUGGGUAUAAGCCUGGGAAACUGGGUCUAAUUCCCGAUAGGACUGCAGGGUGGUGCCUGUGGUGGAAAACGAUUUUCUAGUGGUUGGGGAUGAGCUCGCGGCCUAUCAGCUUGUUGGUGGGGUAAUGGCCUACCAAGGCGGCGACGGGUAGCCGGCCUGAGAGGGUGGACGGCCACAUUGGGACUGAGAUACGGCCCAGACUCCUACGGGAGGCAGCAGUGGGGAAUAUUGCACAAUGGGCGGAAGCCUGAUGCAGCGACGCCGCGUGGGGGAUGACGGCCUUCGGGUUGUAAACUCCUUUCGACCGCGAGGAAGCCACCUGGUUGGAAGGGUGGUGACGGUAGUGGUAGAAGAAGCAUCGGCUAACUACGUG